AGAGUUUGAUCCUGGCUCAGGAUGAACGCUGGCGGCGUGCUUAACACAUGCAAGUCGAACGGAGUUUUUAACGGAAGUUUCGGAUGGAAGUUUAAGAACUUAGUGGCGGACGGGUGAGUAACGCGUGGGUAACCUGCCUCAUACAGGGGGAUAACAGUUAGAAAUGACUGCUAACACCGCAUAAUAUAGCGAAACCGCAUGAUUUUUGCUAUCAAAUAUUUAUAGGUAUGAGAUGGGCCCGCGUCUGAUUAGCUAGUUGGUGGGGUAAAAGCCUACCAAGGCGACGAUCAGUAGCCGGCUUGAGAGAGUGACCGGCCACAUUGGGACUGAGACACGGCCCAAACUCCUACGGGAGGCAGCAGUGGGGAAUAUUGGACAAUGGGGGAAACCCUGAUCCAGCCGACGCCGCGUGAGUGAAGAAGUAUUUCGGUAUGUAAAGCUCUAUCAGCAGGGAAGAUAAUGACAGUACCUGACUAAGAAGCCCCGGCUAACUACGUGCCAGCCGCCGC
rnacentral:rRNA from 1 species